ensembl:lncRNA
AGAGGAACAAAAACCAGUUGUGUGUGUUAGUGUGUUUAUAAAAAAGAAAAGACCGUGAAAAGGGAACGGGGGAGUGCGCUUUACUGCCACUCUUUGUCCGCGUCUCCACAUCCGCGUGCAUCCAGGGGAUUUCUGUGGAUCUGCGUGUGGAUCUGCGGUCGUGUUUGGUUCGGUCCGAUUCUGGGUUCUGCGGACCGGGAGAUGAGAGGAGGAUCAGCGGAGGUCUAAUAUGCGUGAGAAGGUCCCAUGGGCUCUACCGGAAGAGGCGUGACUUCGCCACUAUUGGACUGAACAGGGAUAUCUGGUACUCCAUCGAGGGACCCGUCCACAGCCCGCUAAAACAGCUGCAAUACCAGGCUUGGCCGCUGUGCAAUGGUGGAUUGCGGAAGUAUGAACUGCUCCUGGGGGCCUGCUCUGGCCCCGGGCCCAUGCUCG